rnacentral:sRNA from 1 species
UUAGAAUUUCUAAUGGAAGCCAAAAUUAC